AAGUCGAACGAGCCCUUCGGGGCUAGUGGCGAACGGCGGAGUAAUACAUGAGGAAUCUGCCCCUAAGCCUGGGAUAUACGAGGGAAACUUCGGGCAAUACCAGAUGUGGCCUCGAGCUCGCAUGAGUUCGGGAUUAAAGGCUUCGGUCACUUAGGGAGGAUCUCAUGGCCUAUCAGGUUGUUGGUGGGGUAACGGCCUACCAAGCCUACGACGGGUAGCGGGUCUGAGAGGAUGGUCCGCUCGAGUGGGACUGAGACACGGCCCACACACCUACGGGUGGCAGCAGUUGGGAAUCUUGCACAAUGGGGGAAACCCUGAUGCAGCGACGCCGCGUGGAGGACGACGGCCUUAGGGUUGUAAACUCCUUUUUUCGGGAAAGACUUAGGACGGUACCCGAAGAAUAAGCACCGGCUAACUACGUGCCAGCAGCCGCGGUAAGACGUAGGGUGCGAGCGUUGUCCGGAUUUACUGGGCGUAAAGCGCGCGUAGGCGGUCUGUUAAGUGUGAAGUGAAAUCUCCAGGGCUCAACCCGGAAAUUGCUUCGCAGACUGGCAGACUGGAGUGAUGCAGAGGUGAGUGGAAUUCCCGGUGUAGCGGUGAAAUGCGUUGAUAUCGGGAGGAACACCAGCGGCGAAGGCGGCUCACUGGGCAUCUACUGACGCUGAGGUGCGAAAG
rnacentral:rRNA from 1 species